AUGUAAGUGACGAGUCCCAAAUAGGAUGAAACACGUGUCAAAUUGGAU
rnacentral:hammerhead_ribozyme from 1 species